AUAUGCUUCGGCAACACAUAUACUAAAAUUGGAACAAUACAGAAAAGAUUAGCGUGGUCCUAGCAUAAGGACGACACACAAAUUUGAAGUGUUCCAUAUUUUU